UACGUAGGUGGCAAGCGUUGUCCGGAUUUACUGGGUGUAAAGGGCGUGCAGCCGGGAAGACAAGUCAGAUGUGAAAUCCCGCGGCUCAACCGCGGAACUGCAUUUGAAACUGUUUUUCUUGAGUACCGGAGAGGUCAUCGGAAUUCCUUGUGUAGCGGUGAAAUGCGUAGAUAUAAGGAAGAACACCAGUGGCGAAGGCGGAUGACUGGACGGCAACUGACGGUGAGGCGCGAAAGCGAUGGGGAGGCAAACAGG
rnacentral:rRNA from 1 species